rnacentral:lncRNA from 1 species
UGGAACCCUAUGCGGCAGCAUGUUGAGCGUGUCCUCAGGUACGGGCCUGAUCAAAACAUAUACUGAAUCCUUAUUAGCGUACAUAUACGUAGAAAUCAAGUUUCUAAGACGUUUGGCAUAUAUUUUCCCAAGAGACUAAAGAAUAUGGAAAUGUCUUGGUCUCCACGUAUAUGAAUACGAUGCAGCACUUUAUCUGCAAAAAUGAAUUUCAUGAAGGUUUGAAUCUGUACAAUGAAAUGGUUAUAUUCAGCAAAAUUGUACCCUGAUUCACAAGAGUUCACCAACUUUUAUCAUCCUCGGAUGAUUGGUGCUCUAUACAAGAAAUCUGGAGUAACUCAAUUUACAGUUUGCACCUGACCUUGUUGUGGAAGUUUUACAUAAUUGUAGCCUUAAUUAAUUUUGGCAUUGCCUUGAGUUAAUCGCCUAAGUUAUACUCACAAUGAACAAUCAUACAACAUGGCCAUGAAAAUUGCUUACUUUACGCAGAUGAGAAGCCUAUUUUCUGAGAUGAGAAUAAGAGGUUGCUUUAUAACAGCAUAAGAUAAGAAGCAAAUUUUAGAAGAUUCAUGUUACCUGAAUAUCUCGUAGUGAAGCUCCUUUCGUCUCAGCUCACUCGCUUUUACAGCACCAUCUACUAAUGUUUUACUCCGAAGAAGAAGAAGAAGAAGAAGAAGAAGAAGAAGAAGAAGAAGAAAAAGAAAGAUUAGUCAAGCUAGACAUACCAGCAUUAAUUGUUCUUGAUUAUAUGAGUGUAGGGAUGUCCUAUUUUUAAUUUGUUUUCUAGUUAUUCUUUUUGUAGCAUCUUAGAUAUAUAUACUAGUUAUUUUUUAUGUUACAUGAAGGAAAAUAGAAGAAGAU